AUCCCACUGGCCUGGAGUAACGUUUGGAGCAGCCUGGCAGUGCAAUCCUUUUAGUAGCUUCCAAGGAUUUUUGGGAUCAUGGGAUACAUGGACAUACAGACCCAUGAAGCCCUCUGGAGAAUGCUGGCUGUGGAUAAAAGCAUCUUCAAGUUCUUACCAUCUCUUUACCCUGUUUUUUCCUGGAUCACCUUGUGUCAUUUGGGAAGGAAGUCUCUCUGUCCUGAGGAUUAUAGUGUACCAGUCACUUAGUGGAAUACCUCCCCAGUCAUCUUCUCGAGAUGGAGCCAUUGCUUUACCAAGCUGGAAGAUAUCUUUUCUUCUCCCAGAGCCUUUCCAGUGCAGCAGCACUCCUGUCCAGCAGGUCUCGGUUGACUGCAAAAAGGAGAAGGGAGGAGCGAGUGGAAGGGGGGUCAGAUCCUGCCAGGGUUUCCUGGGAAAUGAGGUGUAUCCACUCUUUCGAUGAUGAAGAUUGAUGAGCUGCAAUUUGGCUUGGAUUACAAUAUUUCAGAAGACUUUCUGAACUUGCCAGGCAACCCUCCCUCUAGACUUUGGGGACAGUGGAGCUUAAGUUUAUGUCUCCAGUAUCACACAGGAGAAAGAGCGUUACUUGGUUGCUUUGCACAAGUAAUGAAAAUCAGUGCUGUGUUGCCGUUGGGAGGAAUACUCAAAAGGAGAAAAGCCUGGCAUAUAGAUCUUGUUUUAGAGACAGAGUUUGUCUGGAAAGAGGGUGCUUAAGGGAAGAUACAGGAAGAAAGAGGAGAGGUGAUGCUACAAGCCAGCUUCCUGACUUCCAGAGUGGGACUGAAGCUUCAUAAUAAGAUUUUCUAACUAUGGAAGCUCUCCUGAGGAGCUACAUCACACACUGCUGCCCCUGGGAUGGGAUGCAGAGCAGGAAGUGAAGAGGAGCUGCAAUGUGCCACUGCAAGUUGCUUUCUUGAGGAGAGAGGCUUUCUGGCAUGUCAUACAGUGCCAAAAGCCAUUUUACUCUUGACAGUAAAAAUCCUUAUCCUUCUUGUGGUUUUUUUUCCAGGACAGAUGAUAUUUCCUGUUAGAGAUGCUUUGUAUGCAAAUCAAAGUAGUACAACAAGAAAAAAAGUCCUGAAAGCAAUCACACUGAUAAACUCAGCCCACUGGGGAAUUCCUGCUUAUCAUUUAUCUUUUCUUUUUUUCAGUUCUGUACAAGAUACUUCUUUGCCUCUGCUUUCUUAUGGUCUUUAAAGUUUGUCCUGCCAGACCUCUUACUCAUGAACUACAGUGCUACUUGCAUUUUGCAGGGCUCCAUGUCAAUCUGAACAAACAAAAGGCAGUAAAUGCUGAAGAUUGGUGUUAACAGUCCCUGUGUUUUAUCUUUGCCCUGCAUUGCUCUAGUGCUUUCUGAAGUUUAAGCUAGACAUGAACCUCACACUGCAGAUUGCCACAUGCCUGUAGUGAUGGUCUACUUGGGAAGCCCAGAAACUUUCAGAAAGCUCAGGAAAGGAAUGAGGAGAGCAACUAUGUGGGAGACCAGAAAGCUGGCUAAGAUGUGGACUCCUGCACUUUGGAUGUCUGAAGCUGCAUGGGGUGAACACCCCUCUCACUGCCUGCAUGAGUGAGCAGGAGUUACUGGAACAAAGCACCUAAUUCAGAACUGUCUGACACCAUCCUAGAUGAAAAUAAUAUGGAAACUUUAAUCAGCUCUCUGCAGCUGAGCAGUCCCUGGAGGUCCUGUACCAAGCCUGACCCACUUGCUGAACCCCAGCAGUGCAGCACUGGGCACUGCACCUGCUUUCAGAAGAAUGAAAGGACAGCAAUCUGAAAAGAGACAAGCACAGGGGACGGCAAUCUGUGGAAGACAUUGCUGAGAAGAAGAUUCCCAUGUGCUCUUCAGAAGGGCUGCUGAGCUGCCAAAGAAGCACCACGCUUUCUCCUUCCUGUGUGUACCCAUCCUGCUGGCUGCAGCUGGGGUGCUACCAACCCUUGCUGGAUCCCGAGAGGAUGCAAGGCUCUGUCACUCCCUGGCAUGCUGAGGCCUGGCCAGACUCCCCAGGCAGAGCGAUGCUCCAGGGCCUCUGGACAACCUCCUUCCUGGGCACAAUACACCUUGAUUUUCUGGUGUUUUUUCUUAUUUUUUAAUUUUGGCUGAUUGAAUAACUGAAGUACAAACCUCCUUCACCUAUUUGACAUUAAUUCACUGAUGGAUGGCAGAAUGUUUCAUGUUUAGUUUUUAACCCGUGGGGCGGUGAUGUGGUUAUAAGCCUCACAUCCAUGGUGUAUCUUUGAGCAAUCUGAAAAGUGUGAGUUUUUACAGAAAACAUGAGAAUGGUGGGGGAGUGUGGGAUAAAUUUUUUUAAUCCCUGAAUUUCAUUCUAAGUUUUGAACAAAUCAGAUGUAUUUCAUGGGACCAAAAAAGCUGUGAUUUUCCCCCUUUUCUUUCUUCAGUGUUGUUUUUUUGUUUUGUUUAGCUUUUUUUUUGGAAUUAAAAUGUUUACUCACAUAUAAA